rnacentral:lncRNA from 1 species
UCCGCCUUACAGAAAUGAUAACCAAGCUUUUUUAUAGUGGAGGGAUUCGGCUCCAAGCAUAAUAAAAUAAACAUUCAGUGGGAGACCAAUGAUAAAUCAGCUUUUUCAUAAUUUCUGCCAAGAUUCCCUCUAGUGGGAUUGCAACGGCUUUUGUCUGCGAGCUCGAUCUUGCUUAGAAUCCUCGAUUUUGGUUCGAGCUUGAUUUCGGCUCGAACUUGUGAUCUUGGUUCGAGCCCGAUCCUGGUUCGAGCCCUCGAAUUGAUUCCAGGUCAAUGCAGGUUAGUUUUUGGAUUAUCAGCACGAUAGAUCUACCCGCGUCAUGGUUCGAUUCUUAUUCGAGUUUGAUAAUGAUAUCGAUCUCAACACGGACCGACCUCCCCGGGUUCGAGGUUAGCUCGUGCCCCCUUCGGAAUCUUACCUCGAUACACCAUCCUUCAAACCAUACUGGACAUGCCAAGGCUGAAAUCUAUUUCGACCGUAUACAACUAUAAUGAAUAUUAACCAAUUGACAGCAAGGAUACAACAAAGCAUGAACACAUCUAUAAAACUUUCAGUCAACAAAAAUAGAGUUUACAUCAUUUGAUCAAGGUGAUACCAGGAUACAAGUAAACAGAAUAAGAAAAUAGAUCUCUAAAGUUGGAAAAGAAACAAUAGAAAAUAGCAGAAGCAGUAACAGUAACAGCAAGAAAACAGCUUCAAAUCCACUCCAAAAUCCAACGAGAAUUCAAGAGCUACUGAAACAGUGCAAUGGAAUUCAUAGUGGCUUUUCAACUCUCCUUUUUUUUUUGGUUUUUUCUAAGUCUAAAUUCAAUUUUCAGAUUAUUUUUCUGUGGAGAAUCAGUGAAUGUGUAGGUGAUAAUGAAUUAUGUGUGUGAGGGGUGUAUGGUCUCUUUUAUAGAGUGCGAGAGUGUAUUAAGAUAGAGAUUAGGGAAAAGGGGAGGGAAUCAAGGGAAUGUGAGCUGAAAAUUCGGGAAGGGCAUCUUUUAAUAACCAAUUUGUACAGCUGUCCCAUUUUUAGAUAUUUCAGCAUCUUUUCUUAACCAAAAUAGGACAGCUGUCCUUUUUUCCAGCUGCUCUUUUCUUCUAGAAACAUCUAAAAUAUUUUUCUAAAUUCUUUAUUUCAAUUAAUUCUAUUAAAUUUCAAAUAUUUACAAAACAAUUAUAAUAAGAAAAACAUGCAAAUCCAGAAAUCAAAACAAACUACUAGUACGUAAUUUAACAAAUAAACUGUUUUUAUUAUAUAAGAUUAAUUAACCUAAUAUUAUGCAAUUUAGACCAAUUGAACUACUUAAUCAGGCAAACUAAUUAUUGACUCUAAACAUAAAACUAAGUAAUUAACAAACUACAAAUGCAAAGUUACAAUUAAUUAAGAACUAAACUACUCUGAUUAACACUAAACCGAAUGAACAGAAACAUUUGCAAUUACAGGCCACAGUAACAAAAAUAAAAACCAAAAAUGAAGACACAAUAGAGUGGGGCGAGAAUAUACCUAUUGAAAGAAAGAUGAAGCUACUAAAACAAUUUUCGACGAAGUUCGGCCGGUCAGUGGCCAUUUGACGAUGAUCCGGUGACUUCGGAAUGAACCAAAACUAACAUGAAUCGAUUGCUCGUGUCAAGAGCAAUCGAUUCACGUUAGUUUGAGCCAAAAUGAAUCUGAGAUUGCAGAAGUAGACAGACUUGGAAAUUUCUAACUUUUUCUUCUUUCUUAGAUUUGAAAAUCGAACCAACAUACAACGAUUUGAAGGGAAUGACUGUGGGAUUUGAGGAGGGGGGAAGGUGAAGAUUAUCUGGUGAAGGUUUGAAGGUGUUUUAGAGGUGGGCUGCCGGCGGCGGGUUCUUAGGCGGCUAGGUUUUAUGUGGGAGAUGGGAGAGAUAAGGGAGAUAGAGAUGAGGGGAAAUGAAAUUGUUCU